CUGGGCUCUCUGUAUUUGUAAAUACGGUGGACUAACCAAUGCUUAUGGACCAUCUGGCAACUGGUGAUUGGUUGAAAUUGAGGGGAUAUACGGACGUAUAACGUUCAACGGUGUAGUAGUUGAGGCGGAUACUUUGCACGGGUUCCCAUGUACAUUCCCUUUCCCUAUUGAGCAUUUCUGUCCGGACCGUCCACGAAGUCAGUUCAAGUGCAAGUGGUGAGAAAGAACACGUGACGCCUAGGAGAGUCAGCCAUUACGUCAACAGAUUGGCUAACCCGGUACGACGUUCAACUUGCACCGGUUGAAUUAGGCGUUAGAGAGUUAGUUCGGAUUGAGUCAGCACCCACAGUUUGCCGUGGGCCAAAAUCUAGGGUCCCAAAAACCCUCCAGGAAGGAACCGUCGCGCGCCUUCGACUUCGCGCACCCUCCCGGAAGUCGCUACGGUCCGUGGACACCUGUAAACGCCCCUCCGUCAUCCUGGGCGUGGCCAAACGUGAGUGACUGGACUGUGGAACAGUUCAUCCGCGAACCCCUCGACACGAACCCCUUUGCCGCAUUAGGGGUCUGAAACUGUUCGACGAGUUGCAUGCAACGUGGAAAUCAUCGCACGUCACAUCCGCGUCGCCAUUAUCAGCGAGUGAGCGGCACGGCGGCGCGAGCCGAGACACUUACCACUGGCAGCAUUGGUGAGCACGCGUGGAUUACGCACAGUGGACGCAGAGCGGUGUGUUGUGGUCAAAAAUUCGAGUGAAGACACGUGACAAAGUGCUCAUCGGGCGUUCGCCCAGAACGAACCGCGCGGCCUGCGAGCAAGAUCCCCGGAACCGCACCUCGUCGCCCGACCAUCCUCGUACUUCCUGGUACGGCCAAUCGAUCCGCCCCGUGCGCGGGACGCUGGUGUUUUAAGGCGCCGACCACGCGACCAGCUCAAGCGAAGGCGAUCGGCAUAAGCCACGUGCGGCUUCCGCACCUGGUCCGGUGAAGCAUUUCUAUCGGUGGCUCGUCCAGCUUGGACCGCAUUCGAUCCAACCCGCCAGCGAGGUCCGCUCGGGUUCCUGCAAGUGGUGCGUGUACGCAUAACGCGAACAACGCGAUCGUCGCCCGGUAGAAUCAACAGUUCCUGAAGACACGUGCGGCCUCCAAAACCUCCAUCAACAGCACGUGAGCCAGCCGAACCUCCCGCAGCACUCGCCGAACAAGGCGUGAAGGUCAGAUUAGUAUUAAGAGGUAGUCUGUAGGAAAAGAGCAAGAGCAAAUUAGAACGUUGACGUCAACAAAGAUCUUGGUACCGAGGGUAGUCGCUCGUCAGAACUCAGGUAGAAUCAUUCACCUGUAAUGGAACCUUAAUAAAACUUUGCUCAAUGGAGGUUGACGGUCCGUUCAUUAA